GAGAGACUGAAAACAUUUAUUUCCUGCGACUUGCCCAUUUCUUGAGCUCUGUUAAACCAAGCGUGCCUAGCGGGGGAAAGAGGCAGCGUGAGCCCCACGGACCCUUCGUCCAGCUGGGGAGGCCAACACUUGAGCGCCUGGUUCUGACAGCUGAAAGCUUUGUUCUCCUUGGCAGACCUUGUCCCCUGCCCUGCCCCUGUGCAGCCCUGGGAUGCCUGAGGACAAGACCUGCAUCUCUGAAGCCACACACGCUCCUGGGCACUGCCAGCCCUGCAGAGGACACAACACAGCCCUGCGUGUCCCAGUGUGCACAUGCCAGCUGCAGGUGGCAAGAAGGCAGAUUACAGCAGCAUCAGUUCAAAUCUUUGUUUUCAUUCCCACACCAAAUAGCCUACCAACAACCCUCCCCUGGGCUUCCAUGAAAUGAAGCUCAAUGUUCACAAGGUAGUGAAAAGCAAAAACUAAA